rnacentral:tRNA from 1 species
GGAGGGUUGUCCGAGCGGCCGAAGGAACUUGUCUUGAAAACAAGCAUGUAGUGAUCCUGCAUCAGGAGUUCAAAUCUCCUACCCUCCGCCA